UCCCAUCAUCCACCCUCCCCCCUCCCCACCUCUCCCCUCCCCUCCCCUCCUCUCUCUCUACCCCCUCCACUGUAUAACCCUGAGGGUCUCCUUCCAUUACCGUGGAGGGGGUAGAGAGAGAGGAGGGGAGGGGAGGGGAGAGGUGGGGAGGGGGGAGGGUGGAUGAUGGGA
rnacentral:miRNA from 1 species